rnacentral:tRNA from 2 species
GGGCUGUUAGCUCAGUUGGCUAGAGCACCUGCUUUGCAAGCAGGGGGUCGUCGGUUCGAAUCCGACACGGUCCACCA